UACGAAGGUGGCAAGCGUUGUUCGGAUUUACUGGGCGUACAGGGAGCGUAGGCGGUUGGAUAAGCCCUCCGUGAAAUCUCCAGGCUUAACCUGGUAAGUGCAGAGGGGACUGUUCAGCUAGAGGAUGGGAGAGGAGCGCGGAAUUCCCGGUGUAGCGGUGAAAUGCGUAGAGAUCGGGAGGAAGGCCGGUGGCGAAGGCGGCGCUCUGGAACAUUUCUGACGCUGAGGCUCGAAAGCGUGGGGAGCAAACAGG
rnacentral:rRNA from 1 species